UGUGAAAAAUACUUACUAAUAACUCGAUUCGAAUAAUAUUCCGAUUUUAAAGGUUAUCUGCACAUGUUGGACUGAUGUUUCACUAAGGUUGUCACUGUUUUAAGGUAAUAAUAAUAAUAAAACAGCAAAUUAUCGUAUCAUGGGAACUAUUAGUUAGUUCAAGGCGAUUUCAAUAAAAACACUGUUCAAAUUCAAAGCCGAUGACGUCAACUGUCACCAGUGGUCAUAAACCUUUUUUACGUUUGUUUAUUAUGAUCUCGGUCGCUUUUCGGUGAAGGAAAACAUCGUGAGGAAAUCAGACUAAUCCCAAUAAGGCCUAGUCUACUCUCCAGUUGGAAGGUCAGAUGGCAGUCGCUUUCGUAAAAACUAGUGCCUACGUCAAUUUCGGGAUAAGUUGCCAAGCGGACCCCAGACUCUCAAGGCCGUGGCAAAAUGCCGGGACAACGCGAGGAAGAAGAAGUUUUACAAAUAGAGAGGAGAGGGAUGGGGACACCUGCACCAACAUUUAAGUAUCGUAUUUCUGCAACAUGGAGAUAUAUGUCAGUAAAGUCGACUAUCUCCUAGAUCCCUACAACCACUUCCCAUACAAAAAGUUCAUGAAGCGCGCUUAUUGUUACGAAAUUACGAUUGUAAGUUACAAUAAAUACAACUCUCAACAAACUCAUUGCCCUCAUUGGACAUCGGUCGCACUCGCAAGUUACAACACCGGCCUACAUUAAUAAAAUGUUUUGGACUGAUA